rnacentral:misc_RNA from 1 species
UUUUCUUUAUUUUAAUCAGAAAAUGGAUGUCCGUGAGAAGUGCUGUCUCCUCAUAAUUAACUUGAGUUAGUUAUUUGAAGUAGGUGUUAGUUUUUUGGCUAAACAGAUACUAACACACCAAAUACUCAAUUAUGGAUCCCAAAAUGCAUGUAAUGUAGAUCUUCAUUGACACAGAGGAAAGAACCAGUGAAACCACAUUUGUUGUAUACUAUUUCUUGCCUGUUGAAAAUGAUAUUUUUUAGUCGUCCUUAAGUUCACAUACCAAUUGCCUUCAGUGGUGAUAUUAUAGAUGUAGAAGUUCUCAAAACUCUGGUGCGGCUCUGGACAUUGUUGUUGUAGAAGCUUGAUAUCUGGAAUGAGUGCCAAUGUGGUUUCAUUCUGGAAUUCAAACAUCUGA